rnacentral:rRNA from 1 species
CCUACGGGGGGCCGCAGUGGGGAAUAUUGGACAAUGGGCGAAAGCCUGAUCCAGCCAUGCCGCGUGUGUGAAGAAGGCCUUCGGGUUGUAAAGCACUUUCAGUGGGGAAGAAAGCCUUGGGGCUAAUACCCUCGAGGAAGGACAUCACCCACAGAAGAAGCACCGGCUAACUCCGUGCCAGCAGCCGCGGUAAUACGGAGGGUGCGAGCGUUAAUCGGAAUUACUGGGCGUAAAGCGCGCGUAGGCGGUCUGAUAAGCCGGUUGUGAAAGCCCCGGGCUCAACCUGGGAACGGCAUCCGGAACUGUCAGGCUAGAGUGCAGGAGAGGAAGGUAGAAUUCCCGGUGUAGCGGUGAAAUGCGUAGAGAUCGGGAGGAAUACCAGUGGCGAAGGUGGCCUUCUGGACUGACACUGACGCUGAGGUGCGAAAGCGUGGGUAGCAAACAGGAUUAGAUACCCUGGUAGUC